CGUGUGGGCAGCCGCCAAGAGUGAAAAUAGAGGGAAGUGCCAUGCAAGUGCUGGACAGAAGGGGGCAGGUGUCGUCCGCGGGCAGGGGCAUGGGCAUGCUGACGGUGGUCCUGGUGGUGUCACUGAUGAUGCUGAGCGCCUCCUUCAGCACGUGGUGCAUGCGCAGCAUCUCGUCGUGCCACUGUGCCUACUCUGCCCACUCCUCCAUCAGUGUGUUCUGGUUCCCACGCGAGUACAUAUUGGCCAGUGGCUCCGAGAUGAUGAACUCCGUGGUCUGAGAGUGGACAAACAGGAAAGAAGGUCGGGACCUGAUGCCUGUGCUGCCCUACUGGGACUGUGUGCUGGACUUGGAGCCCCUUGGAGUAAGGCUUUUCACACGGGCUUCUAUACCGCUUCGACUGGAAGAUCCACCUCCCCACUGCCUUUUCUCACUCAGAUGGGGACACUGAGGUCCAGAGGAAAAGACACCUGUCAAAUGUCACAGAUCUGGGAGCGGACUUAGGACCUAUCACGCCAAGAAGACACCUGUUUACUCAGUUUUCUUUUCGGAAGGGGGCACUGAUAGGGUCUCGCUCUGUCACCAGGCUGGAGUACAGUGAUGACUGCUCACUGCAGCCUCCAUCUCCUGGGCUGAAAGUGAUCCUCCAAUGUCAGCCUCUUGCGUAGCUAGGACUACAGGCACGUGCCACCACCAAGCCCAGCUACUUGUAAAAUUUUUGUGUGGAGACAAGGUCUCCCUAUGUUGCCCAGGCUGGUCUCGAACUCCUGGGCUCAAGUGAUCCUCCCACCUCGGCCUCCAGGAGUGGGAGUGAGACAAAACACAGGGUCCCGAGCUCUGGGGAGCAAGCAGUGUCCUCUGGUGCCAGAAAUCCUGGACUUGCCAGCAGAAGUGUUGCCUCUUACUUGCCAUGUGCUCUGCAUACAGGUACCUGCCCUCCAGGAGCUUCAGUUUUCUUAUCUGAAAAAUGAGGACACCUGACCCCUUCCCUGCCCCGUUCGGUGUUGUGGGACAGGGCUGCUGUCAAGACAAUACCCAGUUCUGCCCUCCUCCCUGAGUGGGCCAGGUAGCCCAUGGAGCCUCUUCCCGGCUUUCCUGGGUGGCACUGCCAGCCUGGCCCCCUGGUGCCCAUUCAAUCUAGUCCUUCAUCUUGCUAGGGCAUGGGGAAGCUCUGAGUAACGUGGGACUAUAGAGCGCAAGAGGGUUGCUGAUGGUCUGGUCCCGUGCCCUCCUCAUUCCUCGGCAUUCUUGAUGAAGGCUCCCAGCAACUGAGGGUACGCAGCAGCUGUAGACACCAGCCUGAUGAAUAUCUCACUGUGGGGAGGGCACCAUAGCAGGAGUGGAGCUCCGGGGAAAUACAGAACCCAGGUCUGGGAGGUGCUGAUGUGAGAGGCCCAAGAAACCUCGGCUUUGCACUUGCUGAGUACCAUCUGCACCUCUCAGGAGGGAGAGUGCCAGGCUCAGGUUGUCCUUGCCCAAGCAAGGGAGCUUGAAAAGGGGGCUAGGGGUGGGCUCUGCCAUUUUCAAGGGCUGGCAGGGGGACCCCUCUGGAGGUACUUGGGGCAGUGCUGCAUGCCGUGGCUCCUGAAUGACAGAGACAGCUCUGCGUCCCACAAGACCACUCCCUGCCCAGAACUCACUGUGAUCAUGUGCUGGGUCCAGAUGCUCACGCAGCCUCCUGGUGGGAGCAUCAGGUAUGCUGCCUGCCCAGGACGGCCCACAAAAGAGUCUGCCCUGCUAUGGAACAACUCCCGUUCUGCCUUUGGGGAGAGGUGUUCAUUUAAACAAUGACUGCUCUGGCCCCCAUGGCACAAUUACCACAGAGAGUCUGCCACUACCCAUGGCUGAGAGCUCUAGUUCUUCUCUGAAGCCACCAGGACAGAUGAACAGUGGCUUCCCCCUUUUGGCCGACUCAGCUGCCUUUCAUCAGCUCAUCUGCUCCUAGGAUCCACUCUGCCUCUGGCUGGCACCUGAUCUGAGCCCCAGGCUCACACCUCUGCCCACAGGCCCCAGCAGCUGUUUCACCUCCGACUCCAUCCCCCACCAAGCACUGCCCCUCACCAGCUACUGGGGUGCCACUAGUGCCCCUACAUGGUUCUCCCUCUCCAGACCCUUGGGUCCAGCUCUAACUUCCUUCUGGAAACCACACCCCAAGACCCCAGCCCUGCUCUAGGGCCCUGUAUCCCCGACUUCCUGCAUCCUUCUCCCUCCUUCUGGGAACAUGAACUUGCCCCGCCAGCCUGAUGACUCCUGGAGGGCAGGACGCCAGGGCCCUGGACCAUGGCAGGCCCGGGAGUGUCUGCUGCCAGUGAUGCUGGAGCUGGUGCCCAUGUCCACAUGAUGUCCAUGGCACAGUGGCCACCUGAGGCUGGGCGCAUCUGAGUGGUGACUGCAGAGUGGGGCCCUUACCUCUCCCUGAGUGAAGUUCACCAGGUCCUCCCCUGUGAACUGCCCCCAAACUCACAUUCCUGUUCUGUACCCUUGCCCGGAAUGUUCCUUUUGCCUGGAAUACCACUCCCCAUUCCCUGCUCCCGAUGGCCUGUGCUCUUCAGAGCCGGGCCCAAACACUGCCUCCUCCCAUGAGGCCUUCCUGAUGCCAGAUCUGCUGGCUCACCUUGGGCCCCAAGCUCCAGAUGCAGACCAGAAGGGUCUCUGAAAUGAGCAGUGUGGGAGAGUAAGGCUGAGAGCGGGCAAGGACUGGCCUGAGGUCACAGGGCAUGUCAGUGAGAUCUCUGGAAGGCCCAUGGCUGCUCUGUGGGGUUCCUGGAUGAGCAGAAGCCCUUGACACACCCUCCUAGUCCUGGUCUGGGCUCUGAGAAGAGAGCGGGGUACACAGGGGUCUGAGGGGCAGCGGCCUGUCUCCACAGCCAGCAAUCCCAAAAGUUCAGGACCCGUGAUGCCCACCCAGGGAACUGACUGCAAUGCAGAUUCUCCGGCUCCACUUCAGAGAUUCUGUAGGGCUGGCUAGGGUCCAGGAAUCUGCACGCUCAGCCAUGCCAUGGACAUGAGUGGGCACCAUCUCUAGAGGCACACACCACUCCCCGGAGGAUGGGUGUACAGCAAGCUCCCCAGAAACUCUUGGGAACACAACAUAUAUGGGAGCACAUCUGAGGCACGUGCACACACGCAACCUGGGACCACCACAGGCACAACCCAAGUCACAUGUGUUCCCGGCAGGGAGGCUGGGAGGAAGGCCCUCUACCUGGUCCACACCUCCACUCACCACCCCCAGCUCCUCACCUCCAGCUGGUCUCUUCUGAUCUCAGCUGCCUCUCCC
rnacentral:lncRNA from 10 species